UGCCCGGACAGCCGGCCCCACCCUCCUCCCCCUCUGUCCUCAGCAGCAAGGAGAUCUAGGCAGUUUUAACCAAGAUCAUCUCUCUAAUCAAGUUCACUGUCUGCCAAGGCUCGGCUCUGCCCAUUGACCGCAGAGUGAGAGGAGACUCCUGAGGCCAGCGUUGAUUUCUCCCUGUCCCAUCACUCCUGGACAGCCCCUCUCCCCACAUCCCUCUGGAGCUGAUCUGAUCCCCUCCGAGGCUCACAGAAAGACCUGGCACCAACGUGGACCCCUCUGCUAACAGGACACCUUUUCCACAGCUCCCAGCUGUCCUUGUCACACCAAGCCCAGGGAUGUUUAGGGCUGCGGGUGAAAGGUUGGACCAGCUGGAGAAGACCCCAACAGCACUGAGAGAAAUGCAGGAUUUCAAAGGAAAGGAGACAUUUUCCUAAUGGGUUUUCAGUCUCUACCCUCACUCUACUGAAAGACUCCAAUUUCUGUGUCUUGUCUCAGAAGAGCAUUUUCACACUGAAUUGCCAGCAAGGCUGCAGGUGGGGGAGGACGGAGCCCAUUUCCCAGGAGAUGGCUGAUGGGAAAGACAAAACCAUACGGAGUUGCCAGAGAGAGUUCAUUUUUCCUGCCUGCUCCUGAGCAUGUGUGAAAAUCCCCUGGGUGUUGGCAGCAGCCCUCACACCUGAGAGCCCCAUGUGAAGCUGUGAAGGUGCCCUAGCAGCCAGCCAUGGCUUCAGCUGAUCCCAUGAGCCAGAUCUCGCUGUGCAACCCACCAAAGGAGGAGGAUUCGGCUGCUGGUGGAUUUAACCCAUCAAAUACUGGUGGAGGCAGACUUUUUAAAAGGCAAUAAGACAAAAGAUUCUGUGCUGCUUUAGUGUGGAGUUCUGAGCUUCAUAUUAGGGGAUGGUGAGCUCUCUUCACUGAGCAGCUGGGGACCAAGGACAACUGACCCAAAUUUCAGGCCAAGAGUGUAAAAAACGGUGGAAUGAAGAGAGAAAAACAAGAAGGAUGGGGCUUCAUAACUUAAGCUAUAAUUGACAAUUAACUGCAAUAUGCAAAAGGACCAGAACUUAUUAAAGUGAGACCUUGUGACCGGUUGUCUGUUUUGUG